rnacentral:lncRNA from 1 species
CAGAUAACACUGCUACUCCUACUGCUCUCUCCUCGUCUGACUACGUGUUCUCGCAUACCCCUAGAGCAUCGAGCCAGCGGGGUGGUGGCACUGGAAUCCUCAUCUCUCCCAAGUGGACAUUCUCUCUUUCUCCCCUGACCCAUCUGUCUAUCUCCUCAUUUGAAUUCCAUGCUGUCACAGUUACCAGCCCUUUCAAGCUUAACAUCCUUAUCAUUUAUCGCCCUCCAGGUUCCCUUGGAGAGUUCAUCAAUGAGCUUGACGCCUUGAUAAGUUCCUUUCCUGAGGAUGGCUCACCUCUCACAGUUCUGGACCAUUUCCGGAGACCUUCUCCCCUACCUCACCUCGCUCAUCAACGCAUCCUUGACCGCUGGCUACGUCCCUUCCGUCUUCAAGAGAGCGAGAGUUGCACCCCUUCUGAAAAAACCUACACUCGAUCCCUCCGAUGUCAACAACUACAGACCUAUCUGCUGCCUUUGAUACCGUGAACCAUCAGAUCCUCCUCUCCACCCUCUCCGAGCUGGGCAUCUCCGGCACCGCGCACG